rnacentral:lncRNA from 1 species
CUGGAGUCAUGUCUCCAGCCCCUUAAUCAUAUUCUUAAAGACUCUACCUGGAUGGAUGAAGGACUUCAAGCAGAAUAGCCCAAAGUGGGCUGUAGAUGGGGAUGUUUGGGGUCAGUUCUGCCAGCAACCCAGUAGAGUGAAUAACCAAGCCUGCAUAACACGGUGACACCGUAAACCCCAAACUCAUUUUGAGGGAAAACUACAUCCACACAAUUGAUCGAGGUGAUCGGUUUGGCCGUAAGGGUGUGGCUAUUAGCAUGGUGACAGAAGAAAACAGAGGACUCUUCGAGACAUUGAGACUUUAUACAACACCUCCAUUGAAGAGAUGCCCCUCAACGUUGCUGACUGCAUUUAAGGGGCUGUCCUGCUACCUGGCCCUAGCCCAGGGUUCAGUCCUGUAGGGCCGAGGACCAGCUGGAGGGGGGAGUGAAGGGAGCCAAAGGAUAGACAUCUUGUUUUUUGCUUUUUUUGUUCCAUUUUUAUUUGUUUGUUUGUCCCCCCCCC